AGAGUUUGAUCCUGGCUCAGGACGAACGCUGGCGGCGUGCCUAACACAUGCAAGUCGAACGGACGAGGCCCCUUCGGGGACCGAGUUAGUGGCGGACGGGUGAGUAACGCGUGAGCAACCUGCCUUUCAGAGGGGGACAACAGUUGGAAACGACUGCUAAUACCGCAUGAUGCAGCGAGAUCGCAUGGUCUUGCUGUCAAAGAUUUAUCGCUGAAAGAUGGGCUCGCGUCUGAUUAGCUAGUUGGAGGGGUAACGGCCCACCAAGGCGACGAUCAGUAGCCGGACUGAGAGGUUGAACGGCCACAUUGGGACUGAGAUACGGCCCAGACUCCUACGGGAGGCAGCAGUGGGGAAUAUUGGGCAAUGGGGGAAACCCUGACCCAGCAACGCCGCGUGAAGGAAGAAGGCUUUCGGGUUGUAAACUUCUUUUACCAGGGACGAAGAACGUGACGGUACCUGGAGAAAAAGCCACGGCUAACUACGUGCCAGCAGCCGUGGUAAUACGUAGGUGGUAAGCGUUGUCCGGAUUUACUGGGUGUAAAGGGCGUGUAGGCGGAGCUGCAAGUCAGAUGUGAAAUCUGGGGGCUUAACCCUCAAACUGCAUUUGAAACUGUAGCCCUUGAGUAUCGGAGAGGCAGGCGGAAUUCCUAGUGUAGCGGUGAAAUGCGUAGAUAUUAGGAAGAACACCAGUGGCGAAGGCGGCCUGCUGGACGACAACUGACGCUGAGGCGCGAAAGCGUGGGGAGCAAACAGGAUUAGAUACCCUGGUAGUCCACGCUGUAAACGAUGAAUACUAGGUGUGGGGGGACUGACCCCCUCCGUGCCGGAGUUAACACAAUAAGUAUUCCACCUGGGGAGUACGACCGCAAGGUUGAAACUCAAAGGAAUUGACGGGGGCCCGCACAAGCAGUGGAUUAUGUGGUUUAAUUCGACGCAACGCGAAGAACCUUACCGGGAUUUGACAUCCUACUAACGAAGCAGAGAUGCAUUAGGUGCCCUUCGGGGAAAGUAGAGACAGGUGGUGCAUGGUUGUCGUCAGCUCGUGUCGUGAGAUGUUGGGUUAAGUCCCGCAACGAGCGCAACCCCUAUUGUUAGUUGCUACGCAAGAGCACUCUAGCGAGACUGCCGUUGACAAAACGGAGGAAGGCGGGGACGACGUCAAAUCAUCAUGCCCCUUAUGUCCCGGGCUACACACGUAAUACAAUGGCGGUCAACAAAGGGAAGCAAAGCCGCGAGGCAGAGCAAACCCCCAAAAGCCGUCUCAGUUCGGAUUGCAGGCUGCAACUCGCCUGCAUGAAGCUGGAAUUGCUAGUAAUCGUGGAUCAGAAUGCCACGGUGAAUACGUUCCCGGGCCUUGUACACACCGCCCGUCACACCAUGAGAGUCGGGAACACCCGAAGUCCGUAGUCUAACCCGCAAGGGAGGGCGCGGCCGAAGGUGGGUCUGAUAAUUGGGGUGAAGUCGUAACAAGGUA
rnacentral:rRNA from 1 species